GCUCGUGUCGUGAGAUGUUGGGUUAAGUCCCGUAACGAGCGCAACCCUGUCCUAGUUACCAGCACGUUAUGGUGGGCGACUCUAAGGAGACUGCCGGUGACAAACCGGAGGAAGGUGGGGAGUGACGUCAAGUCAUCAUGGCCCUUACGGCCUGGGCUACACACGUGCUACAAUGGUCGGUACAAAGGGUUGCCAAGCCGCGAGGUGGAGCUAAUCCCAUAAAACCGAUCGUAGUCCGGAUCGCAGUCUGCAACUCGACUGCGUGAAGUCGGAAUCGCUAGUAAUCGUGAAUCAGAAUGUCACAGUGAAUACGUUCCCGGGCCUU
rnacentral:rRNA from 1 species